rnacentral:rRNA from 1 species
AGAGUUUGAUCCUGGCUCAGGAUGAACGCUAGCGGGAGGCUUAAUACAUGCAAGUCGAGCGGGAUUGGUAGCAAUACCAUGAGAGCGGCGCACGGGUGAGUAACGCGUACACGACCUACCUCUGACAGGGGGAUAGCCCUGGGAAACUGGGAUUAAUACCGCAUAUUAUUCUGAUUAAUAAAGGAUUGGAAUGAAAGUUCAGGCGGUCAGAGAUGGGUGUGCGUCUGAUUAGCUAGUUGGUAGGGUAACGGCCUACCAAGGCGAUGAUCAGUAGGGGGCGUGAGAGCGUGAUCCCCCACACGGGUACUGAGACACGGACCCGACUCCUACGGGAGGCAGCAGUAAGGAAUAUUGGUCAAUGCCCGGAAGGGUGAACCAGCCAUGCCGCGUGAAGGAUGACUGCCCUCUGGGUUGUAAACUUCUUUUGGAUGGGACGAAAAAACGGGAUUUAUCCUGGACUGACGGUACCAUCAGAAUAAGCACCGGCUAACUCCGUGCCAGCAGCCGCGGUAAUACGGAGGGUGCGAGCGUUAUCCGGAAUUACUGGGUUUAAAGGGUGCGUAGGCGGAUGAUUAAGUCUAAGGUGAAAGUUUGUCGCUUAACGAUAAAAUUGCCUUGGAUACUGGUUAUCUUGAAUAAGGAUGAGGAUGGCGGAAUGUGGCAUGUAGCGGUGAAAUGCAUAGAUAUGCCAUAGAACACCAAUUGCGAAGGCAGCUGGCUAGACCUGGAUUGACGCUGAGGCACGAAAGCGUGGGGAGCGAACAGGAUUAGAUACCCUGGUAGUCCACGCCCUAAACGAUGCUUACUCGUU